rnacentral:rRNA from 1 species
UACGUAGGGGGCAAGCGUUGUCCGGAUUUAUUGGGCGUAAAGAGCGUGUAGGCGGCCAGGUAGGUCAGCUGUGAAAACUCGAGCUUAACCUCGAGACGCCGGCUGAAACCCUCUGGCUAGAGUCCGGAAGAGGAGAGCGGAAUUCCUGGUGUAGCGGUGAAAUGCGCAGAUAUCAGGAGGAACACCAUGGCGAAGGCGCU